rnacentral:rRNA from 1 species
UACGUAGGUGGCAAGCGUUGUCCGGAUUUAUUGGGCGUAAAGGGAGCGCAGGUGGUUUCUUAAGUCUGAUGUGAAAGCCCACGGCUCAACCGUGGAGGGUCAUUGGAAACUGGAAAACUUGAGUGCAGAAGAGGAAAGUGGAAUUCCAUGUGUAGCGGUGAAAUGCGCAGAGAUAUGGAGGAACACCAGUGGCGAAGGCGACUUUCUGGUCUGCAACUGACGCUGAUGUGCGAAAGCGUGGGGAUCAAACAGG